rnacentral:tRNA from 1 species
UAGCUCAGCUGGUAGAGCAGCGGACUUUUAAUCCGUUGGUCCCGCGUUCGAAUCGCGG